UUUUUACGUUGUGUUUCCGUUGUGUCGUUUGUUUUCUCCUAUUUUUGAGUGUGAAUUCAAAUUACUAUAAGACGUGUCACGGUACUUUUCUAUCCCAAAUUCAUGUAUUUGGUUUUGAUGUUAUAUUGGUUAUUCUCAUCGGAUUUUGUCUUAUGCUUAGUCCGUUGCUGUGUGUGUUACAUUUUAAUGUUGUGUCGUUGUUCUCCUCUAAUAUUUAAU
rnacentral:lncRNA from 1 species